rnacentral:rRNA from 1 species
CGCGUAGGCGGACCUUUAAGUCAGAUGUGAAAUCUCGGGGCUCAACCUCGAAACUGCGUCUGAAACUGGGGUCUAGAAUCUUGGAGGGGGAAGGGGAAUUUCACAUGUAGGGGUAAAAUCCGUAGAUAUGUGAAGGAACACCAGAGGCGAAGGCGCCUUCCUGGACAAGUAUUGACGCUGAGGCGCGAAAGCGUGGGGAUCAAACAGGAUUAGAUACCCUGGUAGUCCACGCUGUAAACGAUGAAUACUAGAUAUUGGGGGAUUUGACCCCUUCAGUGUCGUAGCUAACGCGUUAAGUAUUCCGCCUGGGAAGUACGGUCGCAAGACUAAA